rnacentral:sRNA from 1 species
AUCUUAAAUGCAAUGGUAAAAUCUGCAUCAGUCCUCAAAGCCCUUGUCAGAUGUUACAUGUCAUAUGUUAUAAUCUUUGAUGAAAUCCCAUUACAUCUAUUUAUAAUGUCAAUACAAGGGAGUUAAUCCAAUGCCGGUCAAAUAUAUAUGACUAGAUAUAAUGACAUCAUUAAAACCCCCUUUGGUUAAUUUAUUGUCAAUCAUAUUACUUGUAUUUAGGAUCAUUGUUUUAUGAUAAGUGGAUUAAUGUACAAGUUUUGUCAUGUAUUGGAUUAUAUGUUUGGAUGCUGAAUUGAAAGUAAAAUAUUUAAUUU